ACGGAAGGCAGCAGUGGGGGAUAUUGCACAAUGGGGGAAACCCUGAUGCAGCAACGCCACGUGUGGGAAGACGCAUUUCGGUGUGUAAACCACUGUCGUGAGGGAAUAAGGCUGAGUUUCGGCUCAGUUGAAUGUACCUCGAAAGGAAGCACCGGCAAACUUCGUGCCAGCAGCCGCGGUAAUACGAGGGGUGCAAGCGUUGUUCGGAAUCACUGGGCGUAAAGGGAGCGCAGGCGGAAGUGCAAGCGGUCUGUACAAUACCGGGGCCCAACCCCGGACCUGCAGACCGGACUGCAUUUCUCGGAUAGUUCAGGGGCAAGCGGAAUUCCUGGUGUAGCGGUGGAAUGCGUAGAGAUCAGGAAGAACACCGAUGGCGAAGGCAGCUUGCUGGGGACUUAUCGACGCUCAUGCUCGAAAGUGCGGGUAGCAAACAGGAUUAGAUACCCUGGUA
rnacentral:rRNA from 1 species